CCUGGCGUAAGGCGCACGCAGGCGGUUGUUAAGUCAGAAUGUGAAUCCCGGCUCAACUGGGAACUGCAUUGAAACUGCAAGCUAGAGUCUCGUAAAGGGGGUAGAAUUCCAGGUGUAGCGGUGAAAUGCGUAGAGAUCUGAGAAUACCGGUGCGAAGGCGGCCCCUGGACGAAGACUGACGCUCAGGUGCGAAAGCGUGGGGAGCAAACAGGAUUAGAUACCGUGGUAGUCCACGCUGUAAACGAUGUCGAUUUGGAGGUUGUGCCCUUGAGGCGUGGCUUCCGGAGCUAACGCGUUAAAUCGACCGCCUGGGGAGUACGGCCGCAAGGUUAAAACUCAAAUGAAUUGACGGGGGCCCGCACAAGCGGUGGAGCAUGUGGUUUAAUUCGAUGCAACGCGAAGAACCUUACCUACUCUUGACAUCCAGAGAACUUUCCAGAGAUGGAUUGGUGCCUUCGGGAACUCUGAGACAGGUGCUGCAUGGCUGUCGUCAGCUCGUGUUGUGAAAUGUUGGGUUAAGUCCCGCAACGAGCGCAACCCUUAUCCUUUGUUGCCAGCGGUUCGGCCGGGAACUCAAAGGAGACUGCCAGUGAUAAACUGGAGGAAGGUGGGGAUGACGUCAAGUCAUCAUGGCCCUUACGAGUAGGGCUACACACGUGCUACAAUGGCGUAUACAAAGAGAAGCGACCUCGCGAGAGCAAGCGGACCUCAUAAAGUACGUCGUAGUCCGGAUUGGAGUCUGCAACUCGACUCCAUGAAGUCGGAAUCGCUAGUAAUCGUAGAUCAGAAUGCUACGGUGAAUACGUUCCCGGGCCUUGUACACACCGCCCGUCACACCAUGGGAGUGGGUUGCAAAAGAAGUAGGUAGCUUAACCUUCGGGAGGGCGCUUACCACUUUGUGAUUCAUGACUGGGGUGAAGUCGUAACAAGGUAACCGUAGGGAACCC
rnacentral:rRNA from 1 species